AGAAGAAGAGAUCAGCAUGCGUUGGGGAGAGGGGGAGGAGGACAGAUCAGCAACGGUAGGCGUUGUUGGCAUAGAGUUGCUUGCGCAUGGUACAGAGACCUUUGACAGUGUCGUGGCACUCUCGGAACCGGCGCUCAAAGUGUCGUAUGCGUUGCGACAUGAGCCGCAUGCCGGCAUAGGUGUAGGGCUCGUGGCCGCACAUGAUGGCCUCUUGCAAUGCGGCCUGGCGCGCGCCGACCAGCCGCUCAAAGCAGACCAGGGCGUGCACAUUAUCUACAUCGGGGAGACCUGCGACGGGCCACGGCAUGUGUACCGAUGCUGCAGUGGGCGCGUACGGCCGCGACGGCGGCCAAUUGUCGCCGCCGACCACAAGCCACGACAUGGCGUAGGCCGUCAGCGGCAGGCCGCCCCACAUAGACGCUGGCCACAGCGCCUCGCGGUAGACGGCAUCGGACACGCGCGAAGCGCCGUCCGGGCCGCCCGAUAUGUCGGCGGCGUCGAUGGUGCCCAACGCGUCGCGGGCGAUGUUGUGGCAUUCGAGGCCGAUCGCCACGCAUGCGGCCGAGUCGCGAGGCCACCACGUGUGCUCCAAGGGCGGGUCGAAAUAGGCGGCGCGUGAAAUCGGCUCGCGUCCUCGACGCCUGUCCGCGUGCUCGGCGUAGCCCACCGACCGCGCCUUCCUGCCUCGAAACUCGUAGGGCACCAGCACGAUCGUCAUCGCGCAGUGUCCGUCGCGGGUGAGACCUCGCGUCAGACACCCAGCCGUCGUCACCUGGCCCUUGCCCGGCGCCUGAGCCCAGAGGCCUCGGUCGCCCAUCACGCCACCCAUUCCCCUGCGCGCCUGUUUCCUGGCGGCGCUUUGUGCGCUGUUCAUGGCGGCAAACUGUCUGGCAAAAGAAUGUCGCCCGGUUGCUUCUCGCCAGUGUGUGCGUUGUUGUGCGUGUCGGUUUUGUCGGCGGUGUGCCGCCUCAAAGUGGAAAAACGGCAUUCGCCCGACGGCCGCCGAUUUUUUUUCUGCGAAAAAAAAACGAACGGACGAGGAACGUGACCGAGACAACCAACCCAAAGAGGGAGGCUAAGCGCAUCGCCUAAUGCUGGUCAAUGGCCCGGCCGGGCCGUAGCCUGACCAACCGAGAACGGGCCGCGGCCGACUCGACCUCUGAAAGGAAUCGAACCUGCCGACGCUGUUUUCUGUAUCGUCAAUAAAUUGCGCUCAAAACUUGCAGCCU
rnacentral:lncRNA from 1 species